rnacentral:lncRNA from 1 species
GGGGGUAAUCGAGGGUUUCGGGGACGCCGAGUGGCGCUUUCCUCUUCCCAGCGAGUGACGGAGGGAAGUCGGCGGCUCGGGUGCGCGGCCACUUUCCCUGCGCGAUUCCCCGAGCUCCCUGCAGGAGGAGAAAGUCCCCGGCGGGUCCGGAUGGCGUAGUUGCGCUGCGGCGCAGCAGCUGCCGGAGCUUCGCGGCCGCCGGGCGCUGGGCGGGGAAACUUCGCUCUGCUUUUUCCUCCAACUUGUGGCGGGUGGAUCUCCGCUGGACACGCCGCCUCCGAGGCAACUUGAAAAUUGGAAAGAAGGACUUAAAGGCCAUUUCUGAUUUGCAAAGAUUGUCUACGAUCUGAAGAACUACAGGCUGAGGUGGCUGAAUGGGACACCCUUUUGGAGAAAUAAAAAUGACUCUUCAUUGUGUGGUUGCCCUGUUUGCCCUGAUAAGUUCCUGUUUAGCAACAGCAGGUAAGUUGCAUCAUAUAAAUUGCUGGUUCAUUAUAUUCUUCUGGAUAUAGUUUUCUUUGAUCUUUGCAGUCUAGAAAAAUCUAGGCUAUGUAAUGUUUAUGCAAAACUCGAGUAUUUAUAUUCUUCAAGGCAAAAUUAUUGGACUGCUAUAGACAUAUUUGCCUCUUAUAUUUUACUAGGCUGCUGCUAGACAUUCUCAUGCAUAGGUUAUAUUUACUUUCUUAUCCUGAGUAAGAAUUUCGAAAAUGCUCUUUUGUUCUUUAUUACAAAGUAAAUAGAUGUUUUACAUACAGGGAGUGGUCCUCGCAUAGGCUGCUUGGGGGAUCCAUCAUUUUGCCCAUUUCAGGUAUUUUAAUAUGUAACUUUUAAAAAUGUACAGAAAUGCAGAGUUCCCGUUGUGGCUCAGUGGAUUCAGGACCUGACAUUGUCUCUGUGAGGAUGCGGGUUCGAUCCCUGGCCUGGCCCAGUGGGUAAUCCACUGGGCCAGCAUUGCUGUAAGCUUCGGUGUAGAUGGCAAAUGCAGCUUGGAUCCAGUGUUGCGGUGGCUGUGGUGUAGCCCCCAACUGCAGCUCCAGUUCUUCUCCUAGCCUAGGAACUUCCAUAUGGCAGGAAGGUGGCUGUAAAAAGAAAAGAAAACAAAACAAAAAAACCCAAUGGGAAAUGCAUUGUGCUUCCUAGAGGCCAUCAGAGCAUGAGGCGGGAGAUGAGAAGAAGCAGGUGAUUUGGUUGAAACAUCAUUGCUUAAGUAAGAGUCUCAGAUCCCCCCACCCCAACAUCUAUCUUAGUGUUGGCAGCCAAGCUUACUUCACAAAUCUGGAAAUUUAAUUUGCUCUAUUUUGUUCUAAUUUGCUUUGUGUCUCUUCUCGCAUGAGCUACCUAGAACUAAUUUGUUGGGCCAGUUCUGGAAACGGGUUGGCCUCAGGAAGAAACACAUUGACUUAAAAAAUGAUCAGCCUCCUUGUUUCGGCUGUAGAAUUGCACCUGCAGGUGACACGAGAGUGAUCCCAAUAAGCGCCACGUAUUGAAUGUGCACUCUAGCAGGUGCCGGGUACCUGAGCUAAACACGAGUGGACCAUGGCCAUGACCGUGAGCAAGGAUGUCCUUAUUUCAGGAGCUCACUUAGUCACAACGCUGAGGGGGGUGAGGUUGUGUUCCCCAUUUUACAGAUGAUGAAAUGAGGUGUGUAGAGAGCCGGUGACCUGUCUGGCGUCACGGGGCUGGGGCACGGAGGGGCUGGAUUCCCCAUCUGUACAGACACUUCGCCUCCUGGGAGAUGCUGAAGAUGCCAGACCACCGUUGAGUCUCUUGUCCACUCAGACCAGGAGUCCUUGGUAGCCACAGACCAAAUGAAAGCCAGUUUGCAGAAAUGAGUUUAUGAGACUGGAAAGCAGAACGUCCCCCUGCUUGCAAAUAUCUUGAGAGAAAGUUGCUACUUUUUUUUGUUUUUUUUGAAUGCCAGUGUGUGAAUUUGAACUGCCCGUUCUCUCUGUCGUCAGCAGUUUCAUUUUGUCUCAUGAUUGAAAAGUUAUUUGCCUUUUAGCCUGUGCAUUGAAACCAAUCUUAAUUAAAAUCUCAUUGAAAAGUAAUAGCAGAGAGAGAGACUGAGAGAGCGAGAGAGAGAGAAAUGGGGGGUAGGGGGGGGAGGGCGGGUGGGCUAUGGCUUGACAGAAAAUGGGCUGUUUGGAUGAUAAAAGAUGUAUAAUGGUACCUGAUGGGUUCGAGGCAGAAUUUUCAUCUUUCGUUGAUGAGAAAUGUAACUGAAGAAGGUACUUCAUGGGCACGUGGUGAGUCUGGGGACUCUGUCUGUCGCCUUGAUGUAUUUGACAGUGAACCUGUUUUGCUUAUGGCUUCCCUUCCUCUUUCAAGCCAGGGGUAAAAGGUAUGUAUUUUUUGAGUUGUGCGUACCCUCAAAGCUUUGCUGGGCUGUACAGUAAGGUCGAAGGUACAGGAGAAUGAACAGAUUAUAACAACCGGCGGCAACUGAUGAGCGGGACAGAUGUCGAGGAGCUUUUUUGAACAACGUCAUGGGCCAAGUGAGUGCAGAAGAAGGGAGAAGUGUUUUGUAUGUACUGGCAUCCAGGAAUUUUCUGUGUCAACUCAGCAUACUUUACAAAAUGCUAUUGUAGGGCAUUUGGGAUGAGUUGAACUUCAGAAAGCUAGUAUAAUAAUGAACAGUUUAAUUACUAUGUGCCAGGCCGUGUUCAAAGUGCUUUUCCUUUUCUUUUUUUUUUCUUUUUCUUUUUACAAUUGUACCUGCAGCACAUGGACGUUCCCAGGCUAGGGGUCAAAUUAGAGCUACUUUCGCCGGCCUCCACCACAGCCACAACAACACCGGAUCUGAGCCACGUCUGGGACCGAUGCUGCAGCUUGAAGCAACACCCGAUCCUUAACCCACUGAGUGAGGCCAGGGAUUGAACCCACAUCCUCAUGGGCCCUAUGUCGGGUCCUUAACCUGCUGGGCCACAAUGGGAACUCCUCAAAUACUUUAAAGGUAUUAUCCCAUCACUCCCUUAAGAAGUGUAGGUUCUUUGUUUAUCUUCCUGUUGUAGAUGAGGAAACUGAGGGACAGACAGGUUAAGCAAUUUCCUCAAGGUCCUGCAGCUACGACGUGGCAGAUUCAACCAUCAACCUACCUAGCCUGGGUCUACAGGUCGAGCCUUUAGUUGCUGCAGUAGGAGGGAGGAUUGCUCAGAGAGGUGGUUGUUGUGAAGAAUGAUGAUGGCUUUGUUGGUGCCACCCGUGUCCUUCAGAAGCAUCAGGCGUUCACUGAGUCCUGCUAAGUGCACAGCCCAGUACUAGUCACUUAGGGACAUGCAACGAAAUAGAAGAUUCAUCCUUCUUUUGUGCUGCUUGUACUUUAGUUCGGCCUGUGAAAUGCCACCAUGUAGCAAAACAAUCAAGGCAUGUAGGUGCUGUGUCGACGCCGGAAGACCUCAGGGGGUUGGGGGUGGGGGGUUAGGGGCAGGGGCGGCCUUUGUGGUCUUGAGCUUGGUUUGGAAGACCGGGCAGGACCUCGGAAGGGGAAGGCCCUGGGGUGAGCUGAUGGGAAAAUAGGACGUGGCACGUAACUGCUUGAUGUUGUCUUCAAGAAACGGAUGGCGCGGAGAACCGGCUGGGAAUGUAGGGGCGUGUGUUCGCGGAGGAUCUUAAAGGGCAGGAUGAGGCUGUGGGUUUCAUGCUGAGAUGUGGAUUCAUUUGCUCUUUUCCCACCCCCUUGUAGCCACAGGCACGCACUGUUUGAUUUAGAAAGUGAGGCCUCCUCCUCGGCUGCAGAGGCGGCCUGCCUGGCACAUAGGCUGCCAGUCACCUUGCUCUUGCCCUCUGCCAGCUGAUGGAUUGUGUCUUUCUAAGGCAACCCUGCGAGGUGGUCUUUGUAUUAUGAUCACCAUCUGCAUUUUACAUGCAGGGAAACUGAAACUCCGUAACGCAUAAGGGGCAGAGCUGGGACUGGAACCCAGGCAGCGUGGCUCUAGAAUCCAGCCUGUCAGUCACUCUGCUGGAGCCUCUGUGGGGCAGGCCCUCCGUGUGGAACGAACGAUCGUGCUUGCUGAUGGAUGCGAGGGCAGAUGAGUAGCCGCCAGUGGGAUGCCCUGGAAGCAGAUUACCGCCCCCCCCAGCCAGCCUCAGAAGGGACGUGUGUAAGUCGUCAGAGUGGAGGGACCCCCAAACAUGGGCCUUGUUUAUUGCAUGCUUAUUUCCCUGAUGCGGCUCUGAAGCUCCGCCGUGUGGUUCUUGGCAGCAGACGGGCUGAAGGCCUCGCUUGGCUGUGUGGCCCGAGAGAAGACGAGCACAGCACAGCACAGCGCAUAAAACCAGCCCGGGUUGGAGGAGGAGGAGCAGCCUGCGUGUGGGCCUUCAGUGAAGGCCUUUCUUCUGGGCAGUGGCUCGGGGUGGGGUGGGGGGGCACAGCUGGGUGUGUCCCAGGGCUGGUGGUGGCUUUGGCAAAACUCACACUCUCCCUUCCCUCCUCUUUUGGGGGGUGUCACCCAGCAUCACAGGGAGGGAGGGCCACGCUCUUGGUGAACAAGAGUUGGGCAAGGACCGGAGCGCCUCCUGCUGAGAAAUUACCGUUGGUGUUUGCGGCCGUGUCUUGGGUCCUGUCACCCGCCUAACACAAAGUGGGAAGUUUAAGAAGUAAAUGCUUGCUCUGAUGGGCUUCGGCCUCAUGAAGUUUGCACUUUAAAAACUGUUCUGCUACACAUCUUUUAAAAACCUCAAGUGCUGCCUCUGAGGCUUUUGCUAGCGUUGCUGAGGGCCAUGUUCCUAGGAGCCCUGCAACGAGAAAAAGAGGCACACCUGGAGAAUUCGGGGACAUCGGUUUAGAGAAAGCGAGGGACCUGUCUGGGCUCCACUGGCCCCUUGUGUCAAGUCAAAGGGUGCUGCUGGCGCCUGUGUCAGCCAGGGGGUGAAGGGGGGGCUUUUCUUUCCGUGGGUGCCACGCGGUGCCCAGGUGCCUAGGGGCAUCCUUUUGGAGGGUGGCCCAUGGCCUGCACACACACGUCUGUUGAGGAAACGCAUUUCAUUUCCUCUUUAUUGAAUGUACCUGGCAUUCCAGGUAGAGCCCACAGGAAGAUAGAGAUGUUUUUACUUGGAGCUAUUUUCCUGCUUCAGAAGAUCUGAACCCUUUGGGUCCAGAGAUACUCGCUGGUUCAUUCUGGCUUUGGGACGGGACGAGCUCGCAGCCGUGUGAGGAGGCUAAACGAAUGAUAAAGUCAUUGUAGUUUUAUAUUGUUUUCAAAAUGCUUUCAUGCCUUGUGUUCAUUGGCUUCUACUGGCAUUUCCCGGGUCGACGGGCUUGUGUUUUUCAUUUGUGGAGUGAGAGUGUUGUGGCUUUAGAGAAGGUAAGCAAUUAGAACACUAGUCCACCUCUUGAACUUGAACUCAACAUGCUUUGGCAGACCAGCUGCACCGACAGGCCAUAGGGGCUUUCUCCUGCAGUGCCCCCUGCCCCCUGCCACCCCACCUCUCAGAACAGUGCCAGCCUGGCCCUCUGCUGGCACUUUGCACGACUCAGUUUAUUUCAUCCUAACAGAAACCCGCUGAAGUAGGCAUUUGUCAUUAACACUGUUUCUGUAAUUAUUACGACCGACACCACUCCUGCCAUUAUUACUGUUAUCUUGAUACUGAUUUUACAGAUGAGGAAACUAAGGCUUAGAGAAGAAAAAGGUCACCUUUGGAGUUCCCGUCGUGGCGCAGUGGUUAACGAAUCCGACUAGGAACCAUGAGGUUGCGGGUUUGAUCCCUGCCCUUGCUCAGUGGGUUAACGAUCCGGCGUUGCCGUGAGCUGUGGUGUAGGUUGCAGACGCGGCUCGGAUCCCGCGUUGCUGUGGCUCUGGCGUAGGUCGGUGGCUACAGCUCCGAUUGGACCCCUAGCCUGGGAACCUCCAUAUGCCGCGGGAGCGGCCCAAGAAGUGGCGAAAAAAGACCAAAAAAAAAAAAAAAAA